CCCCGCCUCUUGAAGGUUUGGAGGCAAGACUCUACGGCAGAGGAGCAUGUGGGAUGAGAGAGAUCUCGCUGCAGCCAUCUUUGGAAAAUGGGGUCGGCCGCGGAUUCCAACUCAAAGCCUGAUUUGGGGUCUUGCUCCAAGAGAUUUUGAUCUCUGGGUCUCUGUCCAAGAUUGGAAGACUUUUGUGGAAUCGGGAAUGCGUACUUUAACUAGAAUUUCGGGUCUUUCUGAGGCUAGGAUCCACAGCCCCACUAUUUAACAACUUGACUGAGAGCCCCCAUUUAAUGCCCUCGGCCACCACAUAUAAAUGCACAAGCCGGUUCGCUGCCGUGCUGGUCCCAAGAAUGGAAAAUGUAGAAAUACAAGAAACCAAAUGCCAGGGCUCCUAAAUCUAUUUUUCAAAUGAGCUUUUAAUAUAGCAAUAAUAGAUAUAGAGAUUAAAAAUGACUAUAGUGAUGUGUAAAUUGUAAAAUUGCACUGGAGAAAUACCGCAGAACGACAAUACCUAAAACAAAUUUAUGCCCUUCCUAAUACAACCGGUCUCAAUUUCAGCCUAAUGAAAUCUUCCUAGUCCUAAGUUUUGAAUUUACAGUAAAUCUCUUUCCAAUAUCACCUUCUUGGGGUGUGCUUGUGCUUGCUAUAAUCACUGUGGGUGCUUUAAAACCCCCUCCAGUUUUUAGAGUAGCUACCCCAACUCUAACCUUAGCUUUGAGGCAAUACUGGUUUUUCUUGCAUUGUUCUCUGAUUCAUAUGCAGACAGAGUCAAGACCACAAACCCAUAAGAUCUCAUCCAUUACAGUUCCUAGGAUUUAAAUUCUUAUUCUGAACUUGGGUUUUGCUGCAACAGGUUACAAACAAAUCCAACAUCACUUGCAAACUUUUGUGAGAAAUUAUAAUGGUUUCCAUCACUUAAAAUUUUUUAAAAAUGCUAUCCAUUCCCUGAAAAGAUUUGAACCGGAUGUCUUUUCAGAAACUGUCUCUGAAUUGACUACUUGCUCCCUCCCCCUUAAUCUUGUAAAUAUAAUAAAAACAUAAACAAAUUACAGCAGUGAAGUCCUUAAGAUUUAGAGUGGAUUCCUCACCGUUUGGUAAGAGCAAGGUGCUCUGGGCUGCACACAAGCAAUUCCUGAAACAGUUAUUAGGAGACUCAGAGGGAGAGGCAAGGAGCCCUGAGGGUCUGUUCUGAGUCAACGAGGGAGGGGGAUUCAGGAUCAGAGACCAGCCACACCCUAGGGGCCAGGAGAGUGAGGAGCUGAGCUGGUCCCUGCUGUUAGUAGAGCUAAAGCAAAGCCAGGUAGAAUAAGAACGGGACCAAGUAGCCAGAAAAGUCAUAAGUGGUCCUGCUAUGGACAAGAAGCCUUUGGCAUAUGGUCCACCUGUCUUUAGGAAGUGGCUGCAAAGCCCUCAAUGGGGCAGAGGGCCUAGGAUGCUGAUGCAGUGAUACAGGCUCAGAGCACGUGGGUGUCAGACCCAUCUCUUCGGGGCCAACUUUGGCUGGGUGUUCACUGGGCCGUCCUGGGCAACUCAAGGCCAGCUGGAUAGAAUCAUAGCCCCAAUGCUUCCCUCAUCCUCUGCUUUGGCUCCCAGAACUCUCGACUCAGGAAGGGAGGAUGCUCUUGGGUUCUGGGGGUGGGUGCAGGGCAGGGGUGGGGGAAGCAUUCCUGAGUCACCUGCAGGAUGCUGCCCUUUAGGAAGUUAAUUAGGACUCUGGUCGUCUCUGAUAAUGACUGUCAUCAUGAUGUCUGUGGAGAUGACUUACUGCGCUGCCAGGAACACGUUCGGCAAAUCCGGGUUGUUUUCCUCCGUGUUGUCGCAGCCAUCCUCACCUUCCUCUCUUCUUCUCAGAGCAGCCUCGCCCACUGCUUGCCACCUCCUUCUCUUCUUCCACUGCCGCCUUUUCUCCAGCCUUCCCUGUUCAGAAGAAUGAAGUCAUGAAACAUUAAAGGAGAAGGGACGUUAAACCAAGACCACCUCACCUAACUGUGACCCUUUACACGUGAGCAAAGUGCAUCCAGAGACAGGAGGUGACAGCUAUGGCCAGGCGGCUGGCCUCUGACAGGUUCGAGCGGAGUACCAGGACUCCUGGGGCCACGCGAUGUUCUAUCUGUUGCUCUGAACAGCCGCAUCUUCCCGUUUUCCUUUUUCCUCCUUGCCUGCCUUCCUCCCUCCUCCUUCUGACACUAGGAAGGAUGGACAGGCUCCUGAGGGCUUCCUGAACAAGAAAAGCUAUGUGUUGGUGGUGUGAAGAGCUUGUCCGUGGCAAGCACCGCAGGCCAGAAACAGCCAUCAGCAGCCCCUCUGGGCUCUGUGCUCAAACUUGUCCCCGUGGAGACCCACAGCUCCUCUCCCCUCUGGCGUAGAGAGCUGGAGGGGUCAUUCUGACUUGCAAAGUGAAAAUUGGUUGUUUGGUAAUGGCUCAGGCCAGGAGCCACUGAAUCCCAACUGCCAGCUACUGACAUUAUUGCAAAUAGCAACUCCUCUGCCGCAAAUGAAGCUGCUGAUGAAAAAGGCUGGUUUCCAGCGGAGGGCCUCCAACUGAGCGUGAAUUGUGUGCAGGAAUGCACACUGCAGUGGCGGCCCUUUCCUGGUCCUUUCUCUUUCCCGGUUUUUGCCAGGGAGUGUCCCAGAACUCACCCUACCGACCCAGGUCACAAAAAUCCUGGCGUCUGCUGUUCCUUCCCUGCGCGGUGAGCUAUGAUAGAACCCAAGGUGCUGGAAUUAAAGGGAGCUCCAGCACUCACCUCAUGCUCUAUUCUUUUAUUUCACAGACAGUGAAACUGAGACCUAGAUAAGCUAGGGUCCAGCAUUUAGUGACACAGCUCAGAAGCAAGCUAACUUAGGAAGCAGGAAAAGGGUGGAAGGAGGAACUGACAGGUAUUGAACUACUAUGUGCCAGGCUUAACCCUUGUAAUCUCAUUAAAUUUUCAAAGGAGGGGUUUUAUUUUAUUUUAUCUUUUAUGGCUGCACCUGUGGCAUAUGUAGGUUCCCAGGCCAGGGACUGAAUCUGAGCUGCCCGCAGCUACAGCAAUGCCAGAUCUUUAACCCACUGUGCCAGGCCAGGUAUUAAACCUGUGCUUCCGGAGCUGCUCCAGUCGGGUUCUUAACCCACUAUGCCACAGUGGGAACUCCUCAAGGGAGGGCUUUUAAAAAGGAAGAGAGCUGCGGUUCUACAAGAAUGGAGGACUUGAGCAAUGUCAUCCGGGGAAAAGCAGAAGAGCCUGUGGGAGGAGGGCUGUACAGCCUCCCUCCAAAACCUCCACGGAUUCCUUAUUUCUCCACCUGGUGAAACCAGGAAGGUGGCCUCCAGCAGCUCUCCCAGGACUUAGAGGUGGAGGAGAAAGAAAGACCUUCCCAGGGGUGACGUGCCCUCCACCCCAGCCCUGCCCCGCAGCGGCUUCUGCUCUCCUGCUCUGCAUUCUCUCUCCCACCCACUGCCCACUGAGGUGUUUUUACCGCAAGCAUUACAGGGACUCUCAGCACUUCCUGAGUUCCCUGCAGCUGUUCCCACCAGAUCAGUGAUGCCCUUCAACUCCAGGUCACGAUUAUAAACGCCUGGUGGUUGCUCCACCAGAAAGCCGUGUUGCUAAAGAUGGGGAGAGAGUCGCUUGGGUUUAGCAAAAAGGAACCGAGUCCAGACCCAUCAGGGUGGGUGGGAUCUUUCCUAGAGCCCUUUUCAAAGACACGAGGAUGAGGGCAUUGGUUUUUAAACUGCUGCCUCCACCUUUCCAGCAAAUGGGAUUCCGGGGUCAUAAAAACAUUCCCACUUUUAGGCCUCUUGAUUCUCUGUCAUUAUGGCUCAGUAUUCAUUUCACUGUAGUCCUUAUCACUCUGGCUUUCUGUGUCUCUGUAUGUCUAAUACAUGUGCAAUUUGUCAGAAUCAGCCCAGUAAUACUGGCUUAUGUGACUUUUUUAAAAGAUAUUCUUCUUACUGCUACUUUGUUUAUUUCAUCUUUUCUUUUUAAAAUUUUUCAAUUAUUUUUUAAUUUCUGUAGGCCACAGCACACCAGCGGCUUGAUGGGGGAUCUCAUUUUCUAGACCAGGGAUUGAACUUGGGCCACAGCAGUGAGAGUGCUGAAUCCUAACCACAAGACCGCCAAGGAACUCCCUGUGGGACUUUUUUAUAUAUAUAUAAUGUGCCUCAUGAAAGCACCAGCUGGGAUGAUAUCAGAUUUUUCCGUCAUUAUACCCCAAGCCCCAGUACAGCGCCUGGUGUAUAGCAGAUGCUCAGCAGGUAGAACACCUGCUGAACGAAUGGACAGAGGACUGAAUGACUAAAAUAAUAAAUAGUGUCUCACCUCCUCAGACGUCACAGUAAUACUCCCUGCUUCUAGGCUGCGCUGCCAAAUCCAUGUGAAAAGGAAAAGAAGGCGGGGCCUGGCUUAUGACUGACUUCUUACCACUGACUCUCUGUAAUUGGACGUGCUUCUUCCCUUCAUCUUCACCCAUCACCAAGGAGGGCAGGAAACGCUCACAGCCCACCUACACAGCUGGUCCUGGCUUAUCUACCCCUUGAAAACAAACAGGACUGGUGGGGCUCCCACAUACAAAACCUUCCUGUGUCCCCCGUUUCGUGUUUGUAGGACACAGACUUCAUUCAGCCUUCUAGACCUGCCUGAGUUCCCAAGGGCACGUUCAGACAGGGAAGGGAGGGGAUGCAGAGACAAGAGAGGAGCAGUCCAGAAAUAAGAGUGCAGCAAAGGGGCAGGGUCCUGGUUCCGCCUUUGAGCUCUUCUGCAGAACUAAGGACCCCACCGGGUGGAGGACAGCAACUUUGGCUGAGCACCCAGUAACCUGGAGCCCCGCCCUCACCACCAACCAAUCGGAAGAAAAUCACACACCCGCAACGCUCACCCCAAUUUUGCCUAUAAAAUCUUCUUCCCACAAACUAUCUGGGUUUUUGAGUAUGAGCCACCUGUUCUCCUUGCUGCGCCCUGCAAUACAUCUUUCUUUGCUCCAAACUCUGACGUUUUGGCAGAUUUGGCCUCACUGUGCAUUGGGCACUCGGACUUUGUUUGAUACACCCUCAGAUGCUUCCAGGCUUUUCUAGGGAGCCUGGUGGAGUUGGUGUGUUGUAACUAGCUUGCCCCUGUGACCUUAUCUGUAACGGCAGAGAAUGGCCAGAGUAAGUGACCUUGGGAACGGUACAAAGGUUAGAACAUUGUUUCUAGAAGUGUCUUCCAGGAAAUGUUUGUCCAAUAAGAAACUCCAUCAAAGGUUGACCGCUGCCAGGGAUGUCUGGGAAAUGGUGCAGAGCAGAGUCACUUCCUAGAAAUUCACAAUACACGCAGCCUAUGAGUGUCUGAGUAUGAGACAAUAAAUAAGCCUCUUAAUCUCUAUAUAAUCCUAUUUUCUAAAUGUAUCUGAUUGUAGAAGCCUCUUUUUUUCUCAUCACCCUUAUUCACAGCUCACAGCUCUUCCUUGCCACCCUGUGGGAGCGCUGAGAUCCCGAGGGAAGGAAAAAGGCCAAGGUUGGAAGGAAGAUAAAGUUGGCUGAGCACACAAUCUUAUCUCACUCUCUGGACCCCUCUCUCUCCCGGGGUCCAGAGCCCUCCUUUUUCUCUAGUUCAGCAUCAACCCACCGGAUUCUGUUCACCACUAGCUCAUUUCAUCCAAAUGAGGACUGGAUUAGGGGUUGCAUAUGUUAAUUCAUGCUAUAGCCACUGGUCCAAGAAGGAAACUCAGCCACCCCCAGGUGGACAAGAUGCCACAUCAAGGGACACUUAAGUACCAGUUUGUGAAAAAUCCUGCUAAAAAAAGAUAAUACCUCACUGAAGACAAAUAAGAACCUAUACUUGAAGUUCUCAUGUGACUCAGCAGCUUAAGAGUCCAACAAAGUCUCUGUGAGGAUGUGGGUUUGAUCCCUGGCCUCACUCAGUAGGUUAAAGAUCCAGCAUUGCCACAAGGUGUAGCAUAGGUCCCAGAUGCAGCUUGGAUCCUACAUUGCUGUGGCUGUGGUGUAGGCCAGCCAACAGCUGCAGCUCUGAUUUGACCCCUAGCCUGGGGACUUCCAUAUGCUGCAGGUGCAGCU
rnacentral:tRNA from 1 species